CCCCUCUCAGGGUCGCACCUGGAGAGUUUUCAGUACUCUACCAGUCUCGACUAAGGGAGGGGAAGUCAAGCAGAGGCAUACCCAUUUCAUUCCUAGCUUGACCAGUGGCUAGUGGGUGGAAGGCAAUCUUCUAUAAGU